rnacentral:rRNA from 1 species
GACAGAGGUGCCAAGCGUUAGGCGGAAUCACUGGGCUUAAAGCGUGUGUAGGCGGAUGCCUAAGUACCUUGUGAAAUCCCACGGCUCAACCAUGGAACUGCUUGGUAUACUGGGUGUCUUGAGCCAUCUAGGGGCUACCGGAACAAAUGGUGGAGCGGUGAAAUGCGUAGAUAUCAUUUGGAACGCCAAUGGUGAAAACAGCUCGCUGGGGGUUUGCUGACGCUGAGACGACGAAAGCCAGGGGAGCAAACGGG